rnacentral:rRNA from 1 species
GAUGAACGCUAGCGGCAGGCCUAACACAUGCAAGUCGAGGGGCAGCACAAAGAUAGGUUUACUAUUUUGGUGGCGACCGGCGCACGGGUGAGUAACGCGUAUACAACCUACCUUAUACAGGAGUAUAGCCCGAAGAAAUUCGGAUUAAUCCUCCAUAGUAUUUUCUAAUGGCAUCAUUUGGAAAAUUAAAGCUUCGGCGGUAUAAGAUGGGCAUGCGUCCUAUUAGCUAGAUGGUAAGGUAACGGCUUACCAUGGCAACGAUAGGUAGGGGGCCUGAGAGGGUGAUCCCCCACACUGGUACUGAGACACGGACCAGACUCCUACGGGAGGCAGCAGUGAGGAAUAUUGGGCAAUGGAGGCAACUCUGACCCAGCCAUGCCGCGUGCAGGAAGAAUGCCCUAUGGGUUGUAAACUGCUUUUAUUUAGGAAUAAACCCUUCUACGUGUAGAAGGCUGAAUGUACUAAACGAAUAAGCACCGGCUAACUCCGUG